rnacentral:lncRNA from 1 species
CCCCCCCCCCCCCGUCUUCACCUCUCUCCCCAGUUUCUUUUCUUUCUUCUCUCUCCCCGUCCGUUUUCACCCCUCUCUGGCUCUCUCUCCCUCACCCUUUAUUUAGCCCUUCUUUCCUCAACCUUUGUUCAGCCUCUAUUUUUCAAAGACAUCACCACUGCACUCCGGCAUCCUCGGCCCACAACCAUCUUCAGUCAACCUCGGGGCUCGGGGGCACCACAAUCGUCGCACCACCCACAAGGAAUGCCUUCCAGAUCUGUUCCUAUCGAUUUUGAUUAUCUUUUUUAAGAUCUGGGUUUUGUCAAUUUGUGCAUGUUCUAUGGAAGAAGUGGUUUGUAAAAGUUGAGAUCUGGAUGUGUAAAAAUUGAUAUUUGAGUUGUAUUUUGAUUUUGAUAUGGAAGAAACACUUCUUUUAUUUUUUUUGUUCUGGUCACAGAAACACUUUUUUUUUUCCUUAAUUCACUUGGAAGAUGAUCUCUCAGUACUUAAUCUACUUGGUUUCUUAUGUUUCAAUGUCCUCUACACUUGAAAUUAGUGUCACGUAAUAUAGAUAUUUUCAUAU